rnacentral:lncRNA from 1 species
CCUUGGCAAAAUGCAAUUGACCAUUUGGCUAUACUAUAGCACUGCCAAUUAAAAUUAAAAACUAUGAACCGGUAAAAUGAGUUAAAGGUAAGUUGAAACCUGCCAGACUGGCAUGUACACCUUACAAUCUUCCAUAGUUAUUCAUAGUAUCUGAGAAAUUGAAAUAAUAACGUAUCGUUAACCGUGAUUAAUGAUUCAUGCAAUGAGUUCAUGGUCAGAUGAACCCUGUCUGCCGGACAUACAUUUCAUUCGUUGAACCUGGAAAAUGAGAUGAAGGACACACGACAACUGCCAGAUUUAAAUUUGGAAACAUGUGGCAUGUUUUAUAUAUAUAAAUAACCAGAUGCUCCGCAGGGCGCAGCUUUAUACGCCAGAGGUUGAACCCUGAACGGUUGGGGCAAGUAUGGACACAACAUUCAAGCUGGAUCCAGCUCUAAGUUUGGAUUGUGAUUAAAUAGUUGACACAGAAUGAAUGUGUUCUAAUGAACUUAAAAGUUGUUUUUUUGCCUUUGAGCAAUUUACUAUGCUGUUGAAUAUUAAUCCUCUCAAAAACUGUUCGAAAUUUUUUUAUUUAUU